rnacentral:lncRNA from 1 species
CCACUAUUUUGUUCUCUCCUUUUUUUUUUCUUUUAGCCUUAUCUUCCCAGGGACCUAAGGACACCGGCGGGGCAGAUGUCAGCUGUGGAUUUAGUUCAGACCUAUUAACUCAUCCUGCCAGAGAGUGGUCUGCUAAUGGGAUUCCUUGGCAUCUCUUCCUUCCAUGGAAUCCCAUCUAGAAGUCAUUUCUGGUGCUUGCAUCCUCUGAGCUGUUCUGAGCCAAUCGCCAGCCCAAAGCUGCUUUAAAGGAGGAUCCUUUCACCUUCGAGCUAGAUUCCUGAUGGGAUGCAUAAUGCC